GAUGAACGCUGGCGGCGUGCCUAAUACAUGCAAGUCGAGCGAACGGACGAGAAGCUUGCUUCUCUGAUGUUAGCGGCGGACGGGUGAGUAACACGUGGAUAACCUACCUAUAAGACUGGGAUAACUUCGGGAAACCGGAGCUAAUACCGGAUAAUAUUUUGAACCGCAUGGUUCAAAAGUGAAAGACGGCCUUGCUGUCACUUAUAGAUGGAUCCGCGCUGCAUUAGCUAGUUGGUAAGGUAACGGCUUACCAAGGCAACGAUGCAUAGCCGACCUGAGAGGGUGAUCGGCCACACUGGAACUGAGACACGGUCCAGACUCCUACGGGAGGCAGCAGUAGGGAAUCUUCCGCAAUGGGCGAAAGCCUGACGGAGCAACGCCGCGUGAGUGAUGAAGGUCUUCGGAUCGUAAAACUCUGUUAUUAGGGAAGAACAUAUGUGUAAGUAACUGUGCGCAUCUUGACGGUACCUAAUCAGAAAGCCACGGCUAACUACGUGCCAGCAGCCGCGGUAAUACGUAGGUGGCAAGCGUUAUCCGGAAUUAUUGGGCGUAAAGCGCGCGUAGGCGGUUUUUUAAGUCUGAUGUGAAAGCCCACGGCUCAACCGUGGAGGGUCAUUGGAAACUGGAAAACUUGAGUGCAGAAGAGGAAAGUGGAAUUCCAUGUGUAGCGGUGAAAUGCGCAGAGAUAUGGAGGAACACCAGUGGCGAAGGCGACUUUCUGGUCUGUAACUGACGCUGAUGUGCGAAAGCGUGGGGAUCAAACAGGAUUAGAUACCCUGGUAGUCCACGCCGUAAACGAUGAGUGCUAAGUGUUAGGGGGUUUCCGCCCCUUAGUGCUGCAGCUAACGCAUUAAGCACUCCGCCUGGGGAGUACGACCGCAAGGUUGAAACUCAAAGGAAUUGACGGGGACCCGCACAAGCGGUGGAGCAUGUGGUUUAAUUCGAAGCAACGCGAAGAACCUUACCAAAUCUUGACAUCCUUUGACAACUCUAGAGAUAGAGCCUUCCCCUUCGGGGGACAAAGUGACAGGUGGUGCAUGGUUGUCGUCAGCUCGUGUCGUGAGAUGUUGGGUUAAGUCCCGCAACGAGCGCAACCCUUAAGCUUAGUUGCCAUCAUUAAGUUGGGCACUCUAAGUUGACUGCCGGUGACAAACCGGAGGAAGGUGGGGAUGACGUCAAAUCAUCAUGCCCCUUAUGAUUUGGGCUACACACGUGCUACAAUGGACAAUACAAAGGGCAGCGAAACCGCGAGGUCAAGCAAAUCCCAUAAAGUUGUUCUCAGUUCGGAUUGUAGUCUGCAACUCGACUACAUGAAGCUGGAAUCGCUAGUAAUCGUAGAUCAGCAUGCUACGGUGAAUACGUUCCCGGGUCU
rnacentral:rRNA from 1 species